UGUUUAAUAGAUUUAUUGCUAUCGGAUUGGCUCGCGUACCAUUAGCUAGUUGGCGGGGUAACGGCCCACCAAGGCGACGAUGGUUAGGGGUUCUGAGAGGAAGGUCCCCCACAUUGGAACUGAGACACGGUCCAGACUCCUACGGGAGGCAGCAGUGAGGAAUAUUGGACAAUGGCCGGAAGGCUGAUCCAGCCAUGCCGCGUGCGGGAAGACGGCCCUAUGGGUUGUAAACCGCUUUUGUUGGGGAGCAAUAAGGUCCACGUGUGGAUCGAUGAGAGUACCCAGCGAAUAAGCAUCGGCUAACUCCGUGCCAGCAGCCGCGGUAAUACGGAGGAUGCGAGCGUUAUCCGGAUUUAUUGGGUUUAAAGGGUGCGUAGGCGGACUUUUAAGCGUGAGGUGAAAUGCGCGGGCUCAACCUGUGACCUGCCUCGCGAACUGGGAGUCUGGAAUGUCCGUGCCGUGGGAGGAAUGUGUGGUGUAGCGGUGAAAUGCAUAGAGAUCACACAGAACACCGAUUGCGAAGGCAUCUCACGAACGGAUGAUUGACGCUGAGGCACGAAAGCGUGGGGAUCAAACAGGA
rnacentral:rRNA from 1 species